rnacentral:rRNA from 1 species
GACGUAGGGCGCGAGCGUUGUCCGGAUUUAUUGGGCGUAAAGAGCUCGUAGGCGGCUUGUCGCGUCGUCCGUGAAAACCCACAGCUCAACUGUGGGCUUGCGGUCGAUACGGGCAGGCUAGAGUUCGGUAGGGGAGACUGGAAUUCCUGGUGUAGCGGUGAAAUGCGCAGAUAUCAGGAGGAACACCGAUGGCGAAGGCAGUGUUCUGGGCCAGUACUGACGCUGAGGAGCGAAAGCGUGGGUAGCAAACAGG